rnacentral:rRNA from 1 species
GUAUCCUACGGGAGGCAGCAGUGGGGAAUAUUGCACAAUGGGGGAAACCCUGAUGCAGCGACGCCGCGUGAGUGAAGAAGUAUCUCGGUAUGUAAAGCUCUAUCAGCAGGAAAGAUAAUGACGGUACCUGACUAAGAAGCCCCGGCUAACUACGUGCCAGCAGCCGCGGUAAUACGUAAGGGGCAAGCGUUAUCCGGAUUUACUGGGUGUAAAGGGAGCGUAGACGGCAGCGCAAGUCUGGAGUGAAAUGCCGGGGCCCAACCCCGGAACUGCUUUGGAAACUGUAUGGCUGGAGUGCUGGAGAG